UACGUAGGGGGCAAGCGUUAUCCGGAAUUAUUGGGCGUAAAGAGUACGUAGGUGGCAACCUAAGCGCAGGGUUUAAGGCAAUGGCUCGACCAUUGUUCGCCCUGCGAACUGGGAUGCUUGAGUGCAGGAGAGGAAAGCGGAAUUCCUAGUGUAGCGGUGAAAUGCGUAGAUAUUAGGAGGAACACCAGUGGCGAAGGCGGCUUUCUGGACUGUAACUGACACUGAGGUACGAAAGCGUGGGGAGCAAACAGG
rnacentral:rRNA from 1 species